CGAGCACGCGCGUGUGGCAUAUCAAUAAGCGGAGGAAAAGAAACUAACAAGGAUUCCCUUAGUAACGGCGAGUGAAGCGGGAAGAGCUCAAAUUUGAAAUCUUCAAGGUUCUACCUUGACGAAUUGUAGUUUAAAGGAGUGUUUUCUGUUGGAGUUUUGGUAAAAGUUCUUUGGAAUAGGACAUCAUAGAGGGUGAGAAUCCCGUAUUUGACCAUUAUUUCUAGCUUUGUGAUACACUUUCAAAGAGUCGGAUUGUUUGGGAAUGCAGUCCAAAAUGGGUGGUAAAUUUCAUCUAAAGCUAAAUAUUGGCGAGAGACCGAUAGCGAACAAGUACCGUGAGAGAAAGAUGAAAAGAACUUUGAAAAGAGAGUUGAACAGUACGUGAAAUUGUCAAAAGGGAAGCGUUUGACACCAGUGUUGUUUUUCCGAAAAUCAACUACGAAUGUUUUGUUUUUGAGGAGUUAUGACUUCAUCGGCUUGCUCUCUUCUUUGACGAAACUUUCUUAAUGCACUUUUCGGUUAACAAGUCAACAUCAAUUUCUUUUGUUGUAAAGAGGGUAUGAGGAAGGUGGCUUUCUUUUCGGAGAAAGUGUUUAUAGCCUUGUACCUCUGCAAUCGGAGAGAUUGAGGUCUGCAGCGUAGAUCCUUCGGGGUUAGAUACAUUUGUGCUAAGUUAUAGCUUUUCAUAGACAACUUGUUGACUAUGUUAAGUCUUGUAGCUUACUCGCUGACGCUAUUUUACCUACGCUUAGGAUGUUGAGCGCAUGUCUCUCUCU
rnacentral:rRNA from 1 species